AUAUUGCGCAAUGGGCGAGAGCCUGACGCAGCGACGCCGCGUGAGUGAUGAAGGCCUUCGGGUCGUAAAACUCUGUCCUCAGGGAAGAAAAUUUGACGGUACCUGAGGAGGAAGCCCCGGCUAACUACGUGCCAGCAGCCGCGGUAAUACGUAGGGGGCGAGCGUUGUCCGGAAUUAUUGGGCGUAAAGGGUGCGUAGGCGGCCUUUUAAGUCAGGUGUGAAAGACCACAGCUUAACUGUGGGGUUGCAUUUGAAACUGGAGAGCUUGAGUAUCGGAGAGGGUAGUGGAAUUCCUGGAGUAGCGGUGAAAUGCGUAGAGAUGUGGAGGAACACCAGUGGCGAAGGCGGCUUUCUGGUCUGUAACUGACGCUGAGGCGCGAAAGCGUGGGGAGCAAACA
rnacentral:rRNA from 1 species